ACCAGACUCCUACGGGAGGCAGCAGUGGGGAAUAUUGGGCAAUGGGCGCAAGCCUGACCCAGCAACGCCGCGUGAAGGAAGAAGGCUUUCGGGUUGUAAACUUCUUUUGACAGGGAAGAGCAGAAGACGGUACCUGUCGAAUAAGCCACGGCUAACUACGUGCCAGCAGCCGCGGUAAUACGUAGGUGGCAAGCGUUAUCCGGAUUUAUUGGGUGUAAAGGGCGUGUAGGCGGGAAUGCAAGUCAGAUGUGAAAUCCUGCGGCUUAACCGCAGAACUGCAUUUGAAACUGUUGAUCUUGAGUACUGGAGAGGCAGACGGAAUUCCUAGUGUAGCGGUGAAAUGCGUAGAUAUUAGGAGGAACACCAGUGGCGAAGGCGGCUUACUGGACUGUAACUGACGUUGAGGCUCGAAAGCGUGGGGAGCAAACAGGAUUAGAUACCCUUGUAUA
rnacentral:rRNA from 1 species